rnacentral:rRNA from 1 species
GACGAACGCUGGCGGCGUGCUUAACACAUGCAAGUCGAACGAAGAGCGAUGGAAGCUUGCUUCUAUCAAUCUUAGUGGCGAACGGGUGAGUAACGCGUAAUCAACCUGCCCUUCAGAGGGGGACAACAGUUGGAAACGACUGCUAAUACCGCAUACGAUCUAACCUCGGCAUCGAGGAUAGAUGAAAGGUGGCCUCUACAUGUAAGCUAUCACUGAAGGAGGGGAUUGCGUCUGAUUAGCUAGUUGGAGGGGUAACGGCCCACCAAGGCGAUGAUCAGUAGCCGGUCUGAGAGGAUGAACGGCCACAUUGGGACUGAGACAUGGCCCAGACUCCUACGGGAGGCAGCAGUGGGGAAUCUUCCGCAAUGGACGAAAGUCUGACGGAGCAACGCCGCGUGAGUGAUGACGGCCUUCGGGUUGUAAAGCUCUGUUAAUCGGGACGAAAGGCCUUCUUGCGAAUAGUGAGAAGGAUUGACGGUACCGGAAUAGAAAGCCACGGCUAACUACGUG